GACAUAGGUCGCAAACGUUAUCCGGAAUUAUUGGGCGUAAAGGGUGCGUAGAUGGUUUGGUAAGUUAGCGGUGGAAAAUCGAGGCUCAACCUCGUGGAAGCUGGUAAUACUGCCAAACUCGAGGACCGGAGAGGUUAACGGAACUCCAUGUGGAGCGGUGAAAUGCAUAGAUAUAUGGAAGAACACCAAUAAAGGCGAAAGCAGUUAACUAUUCGGUUUCUGACAUUGAGGCACGAAAGCGUGGGGAGCAAAACGG
rnacentral:rRNA from 1 species